rnacentral:lncRNA from 1 species
ACCUCAUUUGGUGGAGAAUGAGGAACGUAUGACGCGGAUGUUUCUGAGAGGUUUGAAACUCGGCAUACGACAAUAUCUCAUUUCUCAUAAAUUUUCUCUCUAUUCAGAUGUUGUAAACAGGGCUCACUUAUUAGGUCAACCGAGGGACCACAAUCAGGAUCAUACCGGAGAUAGCAGUCAAUAAAAUAACGAUAACCAGCGGAGAAAGAAAAAGACGGAAAAAAAUGGUAACCACUCUGGUGGUAAUCAUGGCCAUGAAAAUAGAAGAAGCGAGUCAGGAGGAGAUUUUAAAAAGAGGAGAUUUAACAACGACCAUGUGAAGACGACAGUGC